GACGAACGCUGGCGGCGUGCCUAAUACAUGCAAGUAGAACGCAGUUGCGAACGGAUGAGUAACGCGUAGGUAACUGCCUGGUAGCGGGGGAUAACUAUUGGAAACGAUAGCUAAUACCGCAUACUACCAGAUGGACCUGCGUUGUAUUAGCUAGUUGGUGAGGUAACGGUGCACCAAGGCAACGAUACAUAGCCGGCCUGGGAAGGGGAUCGGGCAAAAUUGGACUGAGGAACGGCCCAGAAUUCCAAGGGAGGGAGCAGUAGGGAAAUAUCGGCAAUGGGGGGAAACCUGACCGAGCAAAGCCGCGGGAGUUAAGAAAGUUUUCGGAGCGUAAAGGUCUGUUGUGAAGGAAGCGGUACUUAACCAGAAAGGAACGGCUAACUACGUGCCAGCAGCCGCGGUAAUAC
rnacentral:rRNA from 1 species